rnacentral:rRNA from 1 species
AGUGAACGCUGGCGGUAGGCCUAACACAUGCAAGUCGAACGGCAGCACAGUAAGAGCUUGCUCUUACGGGUGGCGAGUGGCGGACGGGUGAGGAAUACAUCGGAAUCUACUUUUUCGUGGGGGAUAACGUAGGGAAGCUUACGCUAAUACCGCAUACGACCUACGGGUGAAAGCAGGGGAUCUUCGGACCUUGCGCGAUUGAAUGAGCCGAUGUCGGAUUAGCUAGUUGGCGGGGUAAAGGCCCACCAAGGCGACGAUCCGUAGCUGGUCUGAGAGGAUGAUCAGCCACACUAGAACUGAGACACGGUCCAGACUCCUACGGGAGGCAGCAGUGGGGAAUAUUGGACAAUGGGCGCAAGCCUGAUCCAGCCAUACCGCGUGGGUGAAGAAGGCCUUCGGGUUGUAAAGCCCUUUUGUUGGGAAAGAAAAGCAGCAGGUUAAUACCCCGCUGUUCUGACGGUACCCAAAGAAUAAGCACCGGCUAACUUCGUG